UCAGCCUCCAUCCUCACAAUGAGAAAACACUGAACUGGCACUCCCGAAGCUGGCUCGCUUCCCCAGGUCUGCUGCUAAAUUAGCAAGAUCCAAAAAAUCCUCACAGAACCUUAGUUUCUGCAUCUAUAGAAUAAGUGUCUCCUCCUGCCAAACGAAGACCUCCACCCCCAUCUUAAAGUGCAACGUACAGACAACUCAAUGAAUCAUAGAAAGAGGACUGGAAAACAUAUCAGAGCUCCUACCCUUCAUUUAUUUUCAGCAUGCAGAGUGGACCUCAAAGUUCCCUGAACCAGAGCCUCACUUACAAUAGCCUGUUAAGAAGGUGGAUUCACUAAAUACAACCCCCAGAAGAGUUAACCCAGCAGGCCUAUGGGGCAUGGUUAACAAUCUCCUCUGAAAUCUGAGGGAGCCAGUUUUACAUAAUGUGCAAAUUAAAAAUACAAAUAAUAGCUUGGAUCAAUGUAUCAUCUUUCUUUAUUAUUUAAUCCAAACUUUC